rnacentral:rRNA from 1 species
UACGUAGGUGGCAAGCGUUGUCCGGAAUUAUUGGGCGUAAAGCGCGCGCAGGCGGUCCUUUAAGUCUGAUGUGAAAGCCCACGGCUCAACCGUGGAGGGUCAUUGGAAACUGGGGGACUUGAGUACAGAAGAGAAAAGCGGAAUUCCACGUGUAGCGGUGAAAUGCGUAGAGAUGUGGAGGAACACCAGUGGCGAAGGCGGCUUUCUGGUCUGUAACUGACGCUGAGGCGCGAAAGCGUGGGGAGCAAACAGG